rnacentral:rRNA from 1 species
AUCCAGACUCCUACGGGAGGCAGCAGUGGGGAAUAUUGCACAAUGGGGGAAACCCUGAUGCAGCGACGCCGCGUGAAGGAUGAAGUAUUUCGGUAUGUAAACUUCUAUCAGCAGGGAAGAAAAUGACGGUACCUGACUAAGAAGCCCCGGCUAACUACGUGCCAGCAGCCGCGGUAAUACGUAGGGGGCAAGCGUUAUCCGGAUUUACUGGGUGUAAAGGGAGCGUAGACGGCGAAGAAAGUCUGAAGUGAAAGCCCGCGGCUUAACCGCGGAACUGCUUUGGAAACUUUUUUGCUGGAGUACCGGAGAGGUAAGCGGAAUUCCUAGUGUAGCGGUGAAAUGCGUAGAUAUUAGGAGGAACACCAGUGGCGAAGGCGGCUUACUGGACGGUAACUGACGUUGAGGCUCGAAAGCGUGGGGAGUAAACAGGAUUAGAUACCCCCGUAGAA